AGCGAACGCUGGCGGCAGGCUUAACACAUGCAAGUCGAGCGGGCCUUUCGGGGUCAGCGGCGGACGGGUGAGUAACGCGUGGGAACGUGCCCUCUUGUUCGGAAUAACUCAGGGUAACUUGUGCUAAUACCGGAUACGCCCUUUUGGUGAAAGGCUUGCUGCCGGAGGAUCGGCCCGCGUCUGUUUAGCUAGUUGGUGAGGUAACGGCUCACCAAGGCGACGAUCUGUAGCUGGUCUGAGAGGAUGAUCAUCCACACUGGGACUGAGACACGGCCCAGACUCCUACGGGAGGCAGCAGUGGGGAAUAUUGGAAAAUGGGCGCAAGCCUGAUCCAGCCAUGCCGCGUGAGUGAUGAAGGCCUUAGGGUUGUAAAGCCCUUGUAUACGGGACGAUAAUGACGGUAACGGAGGAAUAAGCCCCGGCUAACUACGUG
rnacentral:rRNA from 1 species